ACUUCAGUUGGUAGAGCACUGGGUUGUGGCCCCAGUUGUCGAGGGUUCAAGUCCCUUC
rnacentral:tRNA from 1 species